rnacentral:rRNA from 1 species
GAUGAACGCUGGCGGCGUGCUUAACACAUGCAAGUCGAACGGAAAGGCCCAAGCUUGCUUGGGUACUCGAGUGGCGAACGGGUGAGUAACACGUGGGUGAUCUGCCCUGCACUUCGGGAUAAGCCUGGGAAACUGGUUCUAAUACCGGAUAGGACGAUGGUUUGGAUGCCAUUGUGGAAAGUUUUUUCGGUGUGGGAUGAGCUCGCGGCCUAUCAGCUUGUUGGUGGGGUAAUGGCCUACCAAGGCGUCGACGGGUAGCCGGCCUGAGAGGGUGUACGGCCACAUUGGGACUGAGAUACGGCCCAGACUCCGACGGGAGGCAGCAGUGGGGAAUAUUGCACAAUGGGCGCAAGCCUGAUGCAGCGAGGCCGCGUGGGGGAUGACGGCCUUCGGGUUGUAAGCUCCUUUCGCUAGGGACGAAGCGUUUUUGUGACGGUACCUGGAGAAGAAGCACCGGCUAACUACGUG